GUUGAUGACACCUGUUACGAAUCCCUUUUGGCCCGACAGUCUAGGGGGGAUGGUAAUGAGACCCGUAACAUAACUCAUGCAAAUUAUUAUUGUGACAAAGUAAAAGUGUGCACGAAAUAACCACGACAACAGAAAUCUACCGUCAAACUCUAGGUUUAUUUAUAAACACACGGUAAUGGGGGGAGCAGGAAAAGGGGCUGAGCUGGACCCAAGAAAAGAAACAAUAAGUAUUCAAAAACACCCCUAAGCUAGACUAGCCUACUUUAACAACAGCUAACUAACUAACCAAAAAUACAGUGGGUGGUCCGCCCAGUUCUAACUAGUGUAUUUAACAAAGUUCACCUACGGGUAGUGUAUGCCCAUGGGCGACUUGUCUUGGUUUCCCCCUUUUCCUACCAGCAACAAACAAACACCAUAACCAAAAACAAUACUCACAGGUGAUGACAAAGUGCUAUGGAGGUGCUUUAACAAAAGAGAGGUGAAGACACAAAGCGAGAGUGAACCACAGAGACCUACAGACAUGGCAUUUACAGAGAGAUUGAGCUAGAGAUUGAGCUUGAGAUUGAGCUCUAGAACAAACAAAUGAUGGGGUUUUUAAACCAUGGGGAAGGAACUGUGAUAGGGUAGGAAGUAGGAGGUGUGUCUUCUGAUUGAUGAUUGAUUGGGGAGUGAUGAUUUUCACCUGUGAGGGGAGAAGGAGAGAAAAGAAACACACACACACAGGAUAACUGUAUCCGUAACAACACCACUCUGCUGUUCGAGGGACACUUCGAGUGUGGCAACUUGCUGAAAGCAACAAGAGUUGGUAAAUGUAAUUAUGAGCUCUCUCUGCGCACCAACCUGUACACAGAGAAGCACACUCAGUGGUUCUACUUCCAGGUGAGGAACACCCGUGUGUAGGUGCGUUACCGUUUAACAUCGCCAAACUGCUGAAGGUGACCAGCCUGUAUGAGGAGGGGAAGCUGCCCCUGCUCUACUCUGAGGAGAAGGCCCAGGUCCAGGGGGUGGGCUGGCAUCUUGUGGGUCAACAGGCCUCCUACCAAUGUAACGGGCGCCAGCACAACAACCAGCCCAGCUACACCCUCUCCUGGAUCUUCUGCUUCCCUUACUGCCAGAUGAACGUGGUACCUUCAGGUAUUUGGAAAUUGCUCCCACGGAUGAAUCAGACCUGUGGACGUCUUUUGAUUUUCCCAUGAUGUCAAGCAAAGAGGCACUGAGUUUGAAGCUGAUGGCUCCUCCAGCCGCACCCAGGAGGGAGCCUCCCAAAUGGAGGGAGAUACUAGUCCCCCCAGAGCCCAGCCUUCCA